UCUCCCGUGAGGGAGCAGUCUCGCCUGGUCCUAAGACAACAGGCAACGGGGGUUGCGUUCGUUACCCCACUGAAGGGAACAGUUCAAACCACGAACUGACGACGACCAUGCAUCACCUGUGCAACACCCUCGAAGGCUACUCGACUUUCAUCAAGUAUGCAGUUGCAUUUCUAACCUUGGUAAGGUUCUUCGUUUGUUUACGAAUUGAGCCACAUAAUCCACUGCUUGUGCGAGUCCCCGUCUAUUCCUUUGAGUUUUAAUCUUGCGAUCGUACUACCCAGGCGGCUCGCUUACCGCGUUAGCUUAGUCUCACAGAGGGUCGAUACUCCGUAAAACGAGCGAGCAACGUUGAGGGCCAGGACUAC
rnacentral:misc_RNA from 1 species